UGAAGUGCAGAAAGUAGGGCAGGAGGCGGGACAUGAUAGAGCAGAAAAUAGGUGGAGCCUGAAGGGCAGAAGGCAGAGCAUAGAGGGUAGAAAGGCGGGCAGGAGGUGGAGCCUGGAGGGCAAAAGGCGGAGCUUAGAGUGCAGAAAGGCGGGCAGGAGGCAGAGCAGAAACGUGGAGCCUGGAGAGAAGGAGGCGGAGCCAAGAGUGCAGUCAGGAGGUGGAGCCUAGAGUGCAGAAUUGAGGGCAGGAGGUGGAGCCUAGAGUGCAGAAUGGAGGGUAGAAGGUGGAGCCUAGAGUGUAGAAAGGAGGGCAGGAGGUGGAGCCUGGAGUGCA